UAAUAAGUGUUUUAUGGCCACUUUUUUAAAUCCAUAUCCACCUUGUGUGCAAUGUCAGUCGAUCUUCUUCAUGGAGAUCGACCAAACAUCAACCUUUAUUUUUAACUCUUUGUCUGAAAAAUAUUAUGAAAUAAACAACUCAAAAUA
rnacentral:misc_RNA from 1 species